ensembl:snRNA U1 U1 spliceosomal RNA
UUACUUACCUGGCAGGAGAGAUACCGUGAUCAAGAAGGCGGUUCACCCAGGGGGAGGCUCAGCCAUUCAUGCAGUGGUGGCCCCAUAAUCCGCCACGGUGCCACUGAGGUGCCAC